CCUACGGGUGGCAGCAGUGAGGAAUAUUGGUCAAUGGACGAAAGACUGAACCAGCCAAGUAGCGUGAAGGAUGACGGCCCUAUGGGUUGUAAACUUCUUUUAUGUGGGAAUAAAAUGCGCCACGUGUGUUGUUUUGUACGUACCGCAUGAAUAAGGACCGGCUAAUUCCGUGCCAGCAGCCGCGGUAAUACGGAGGUUCCGGGCGUUAUCCGGAUUUAUUGGGUUUAAAGGGAGCGUAGGCGGUAUGUUAAGUGAGACGUGAAAUGCCGCGGCUCAACCUUGGAAUUGCAGUUGAAACUGGGAGGCUUGAGUGCAGGAGAGGUAGGCGGAAUUCGUGGUGUAGCGGUGAAAUGCUUAGAUAUCACGAAGAACUCCGAUUGCGAAGGCAGCUUACGGGACUGCAACUGACGCUGAGGCUCGAAAGUGUGGGUAUCAAACAGGAUUAGAUACCCCAGUAGUC
rnacentral:rRNA from 1 species